CAGUCGCCGCGGUAAUACAGAGGGUGCGAGCGUUAAUCGGAUUUACUGGGCGUAAAGCGUGCGUAGGCGGCUAAUUGAGUCGGAUGUGAAAUCCCCGAGCUUAACUUGGGAAUUGCAUUCGAUACUGGUUAGCUAGAGUGUGGGAGAGGAUGGUAGAAUUCCAGGUGUAGCGGUGAAAUGCGUAGAGAUCUGGAGGAAUACCGAUGGCGAAGGCAGCCAUCUGGCCUAACACUGACGCUGAGGUACGAAAGCAUGGGGAGCAAACAGGAUUAGAGACCCCCGUAGUCCCUGUCUUUUAUAC
rnacentral:rRNA from 1 species